rnacentral:rRNA from 1 species
UUUAUUUGAGAGUUUGAUCCUGGCUCAGGAUGAACGCUGGCGGCGUGCCUAACACAUGCAAGUUGAGCGAUUUACUUCGGUAAAGAGCGGCGGACGGGUGAGUAACGCGUGGGUAACCUACCCUGUACACACGGAUAACAUACCGAAAGGUAUGCUAAUACGGGAUAAUAUAUUUGAGAGGCAUCUCUUAAAUAUCAAAGGUGAGCCAGUACAGGAUGGACCCGCGUCUGAUUAGCUAGUUGGUAAGGUAAUGGCUUACCAAGGCGACGAUCAGUAGCCGACCUGAGAGGGUGAUCGGCCACAUUGGAACUGAGACACGGUCCAAACUCCUACGGGAGGCAGCAGUGGGGAAUAUUGCACAAUGGGCGAAAGCCUGAUG